rnacentral:pre_miRNA from 1 species
CACGUACUCCCUCCGUCCGGAAAUACUUGUCGUAGAAAUGGAUACAAAUGGAUGUAUCUAGAACUAAAAUACAUCUAGAUACAUCCAUUCCUCGGACAAGUAUUUCCGGACGGAGGGAGUAGGAG